UUGGCGGACGGGUGAGUAACACGUGAGCAACCUGCCUUCGAGAGGGGAAUAACGGCUGGAAACGGUCGCUAAUACCGCAUAACAUACAGGAGGGACAUCCCUUUUGUAUCAAAGAUUUAUCGCUCGAAGAUGGGCUCGCGUCCGAUUAGGUAGUUGGCAGGGUAACGGCCUACCAAAGCGACGAUCAGUAGCCGGCCUGAGAGGGCGGACGGCCACACUGGGACUGAGACACGGCCCAGACUCCUACGGGAGGCAGCAG
rnacentral:rRNA from 1 species